CGGGUGAGUAACGCGUGAGGAACCUGCCUCAAAGAGGGGGACAACAGUUGGAAACGACUGCUAAUACCGCAUAAGCCCACGGUGCCGCAUGGCACAGAGGGAAAAGGAGCAAUCCGCUUUGAGAUGGCCUCGCGUCCGAUUAGCUAGUUGGUGAGGUAAUGGCCCACCAAGGCAACGAUCGGUAGCCGGACUGAGAGGUUGAACGGCCACAUUGGGACUGAGACACGGCCCAGACUCCUACGGGAGGCAGCAUG
rnacentral:rRNA from 1 species